rnacentral:tRNA from 1 species
UGGCUCAGCGGUUAAGAGCACUGGCCGCUCUUCCAGAGGACCUGGGUUCAAUUCCCAG